rnacentral:misc_RNA from 1 species
GAUGAAGAACGCAGCGAAAUGCGAUACGUAAUGUGAAUUGCAGAAUUCAGUGAAUCAUCGAGUCUUUGAACGCACAUUGCGCCCCCUGGUAUUCCGAGGGGCAUGCCUGUUCGAGCGUCAUUAUAACCCUUCAAGCUCAGCUUGGUGUUGGGGCCUGCUGUAACUGGUAGCCCUUAAAAUCAGUGGCAGUGCUAUUAGGCUCUAAGCGUAGUAAUUCUUCUCGCUAUAGUGUGUAGUGAGCGCUUGCCAGAACCCCAAACUUUUAUAUGAUUGACCUCGGAUCAGGUAGGGAUACCCGCUGAACUUAAGCAUAUCAAUAAGCGGAGGA